rnacentral:lncRNA from 1 species
CUUCUGUAUUGUCACCCUCCUCCUGGAAAAGACCCUGUGGCAUUCCAGCAUCAACACAGGCAACUCCUAGAGAACAAAAUAAAAGGUGAAGAACUGAGGCCACCGCUGCCUGUGCUGCACCCCAGACAACAGCGCUGUGGACUGGACCCUGCUCUUGUGGAGCACUCGCCCCCGGAAGUCACCUUCGGAAGCACCUGAGGUGGCUACAGUAGUCAUGAGGUGCCCCAGAAGUCUCCUGCAGGAGGAUGAUGGAUGUGUGUAUAAACAUACAGAUACAUAAUAACUUUGAGGUUUUGUUAUUAAAAUUAAUUUGCCACU